GUGGGGAAUAUUGGACAAUGGGCGAAAGCCUGAUCCAGCCAUGCCGCGUGUGUGAAGAAGGUCUUCGGAUUGUAAAGCACUUUAAGUUGGGAGGAAGGGCAGUAAGUUAAUACCUUGCUGUUUUGACGUUACCGACAGAAUAAGCACCGGCUAACUUCGUGCCAGCAGCCGCGGUAAUACGAAGGGUGCAAGCGUUAAUCGGAAUUACUGGGCGUAAAGCGCGCGUAGGUGGUUUUGUAAGUGGGAGGUGAAAUCCCCGGGCUCAACAUGGGAACUGCCUACAAAGCUGCAUGACUAGAGUACGGUAGAGGGUAGUGGAAUUUCCUGUGUAGCGGUGAAAUGCGUAGAUAUAGGAAGGAACACCAGUGGCGAAGGCGACUACCUGGACUGAUACUGACACUGAGGUGCGAAAGCGUGGGGAGCAAACAGGAUUAGAAACCCGGGUAGUCC
rnacentral:rRNA from 1 species